rnacentral:rRNA from 1 species
AGUCGUUCUGCCCAUUGAAUUUAAAAGGCUGCGGUAUAUUAACUGUACAAAGGUAGCAAAAUAAAUAGUUUUUUAAUUGAAAACUUGAAUGAAAGAGUUGAUAAGAUAUAAAUUGUCUCAAUAAUUGAAUUUAAAUUUAGAGUUAAAAUGCUUUAAUUUUUUUAUAAGACGAUAAGACCCUAAGAAUUUAAUUAUUUAAUUUUUUUUAAAAAUUUAUUUAAAUUAAAAUAAUUUUAUUGGGAGGAUAAUUAAAUAAAACUUUAAUUAAAAUUAAUAUUUAUAAAUAAAUUAAAUGAUUAUUUUUAAGAUUAUAAGAAUAAAUUACCUUAGGGAUAACAGCGUAAUAAUUUUGGAGAGUUCAUAUUGAUAAAAUUGUUUGCGACCUCGAUGUUGAAUUAAAAUAAAAAUUAAAUGAAGAUAUUUAAAUUUUUAGUCUGUUCGACUAUUAAAAUUUUAC